rnacentral:tRNA from 1 species
GCCGGGAUGGCGGAAUGGUAGACGCAGUGGACUCAAAAUCCACCGGUCGCAAGGCUGUGAGAGUUCGAGUCUCUCUCCCGGUACCA